rnacentral:ncRNA from 1 species
CGUUCUGGAGACGCCCAAUCCGUUGGGGGCCGAAGGUGCAAGGCGAAAGCCAAUCUCUCAGGCAAAAGGACAGAAU